rnacentral:miRNA from 1 species
UUAUCCGGGCUUGUGCUGAAGC